rnacentral:misc_RNA from 1 species
GAUGAAGAACGUAGUGAAAUGCGAUAAGUAAUGUGAAUUGCAGAAUUCAGUGAAUCAUCGAAUCUUUGAACGCACAUUGCGCCCGCCAGUAUUCUGGCGGGCAUGCCUGUUCGAGCGUCAUUACAACCCUCAGGCCCCCGGGCCUGGCGUUGGGGAUCGGCGGAAGCCCCCUGCGGGCACAACGCCGUCCCCCAAAUACAGUGGCGGUCCCGCCGCAGCUUCCAUUGCGUAGUAGCUAACACCUCGCAACUGGAGAGCGGCGCGGCCACGCCGUAAAACACCCAACUUCUGAAUGUUGACCUCGAAUCAGGUAGGAAUACCCGCUGAACUUAAGCAUAUCAAUAAGCGGAGGAA